rnacentral:rRNA from 1 species
UACAGAGGUGGCAAGCGUUGUUCGGAAUUACUGGGCGUAAAGGGCGCGUAGGCGGUCUUGUAAGUCUUGUGUGAAAUCCCUCGGCUCAACUGAGGAACUGCACGGGAUACUGCGAGACUUGAGUUCGGGAGAGGGAAGCGGAAUUCCGGGUGUAGCGGUGAAAUCCGUAGAUAUCGGGAGGAAUACCAGCGGCGAAGGCGGCCUUCUGGACGGUGACUGACGCUGAGACGCGAAAGCGUGGGGAGCAAACAGG